GUUAAUAACUAUUUUAUUUUUAAUUUUAUUUUUAAUUAUUUAUUAAAUAAUUAUUAAUUAUUAAUUAAAUAAUUAUUUAUUAUUUAUUUUUUUUUUAUUAAUACAUAUAUAUUUUUUAAAAAAUUAUUAAUCUUAUAAUAUUAUUUAAGAAAUAUUACUCAUAAUAUUAUUAAUUUUAAAUAUCGAUAUCGAUAAGCUCGAUUAUAUAUCGAUUUAUUAUCAAUCAAAUUUUAAUUAUAAAGAGCAUCUCCGCGUGUUCCAUCCGGACACACACAUAUUGCAAUAUGGUGUCUAAAUGUUCAAAUUGCAGAUAAAUCACAUUCUUUUCUAAUGCAAGGAUUUUGAUAAAUGUAAUCAAUACACGCUUUGUUAUCUGAAUAUUCAUUAUUAGUAGAACAUUUUCUAUGUUCGCAACUAAUAAAAACAUUUCCUAUAUAUUCUAUGCGACAAAACAAAUUGGUCUUUUCUUUCCUGUGUUAUCAUGAUCAGAAGUACAAAUUGCAUUUGCUCCACAAGGAUUGGAUUCACAUAAAUUUCACAUAAAUAUAUUAAUAAACUUGAACUAGAAAUCAUUUAAAUUUAUUAUAAUUAAAAUCACUUGCUUUAAAUAACCUGCAACUGAUGAAAAGAUUACCAAUGAAUACUUAAACUGGAGUCUCGUAGAUUGCAAUCUGCAUUUACAUCACAUACUCCAUCACAAGGAUUAAUACAUUUUUAAUAAAGACAAGCUGGCUCGUUUUUUGAAUAUUCUGAAUAGUAAAACUUACAUUUGGAUAAAUAUAUUUGGCCUGAUGAUCAACAACCAAAUAUUCUGUGUUUUUAUCAUAUUUACAUGGAUUUUUACAUUUAAAAAAAGAUGAAUAGUUAAGAUGAUUAAUGCAUUCACUAUCAUUUUUAUAUUCAUGAUGACAAUCAAAAGAGAUAAUCUGGAAUCUGUAAUCUAGAAGACAACUACAAACUGAAACUGCAUUCAUUUUCUUAUAUUUAGUAUUAGAUAAAAAUUUUAUAUUUUUUUAUUAAAAUUUUAUAUAAAUUUUAUAUAUGUGUAAAUGAUAAAAAAAAUAGUAUUACUCAAAAUUUAAAAAUUAUAUAAAAAAAAUAUUUUAUAUACCAUAUAUAACUUUUUCAUUUUUUUUUAUAAUAUAUAUAUCACACAAUUUUUCUAUAAUUAAUUUUUUUCAAUUUUUUUGCAUUAAAAUUUUAAAUUUUAUUAUUAUUAUAUAUCUUUAUAAUAAUUUUUUAGUAUUAUAUAGAUAUAUAGAUAUAGAAAAGAUGCAUAAAAUUAUUAUUUACCAGAAUUAGCUAUAUAGAUGAAUAUAAGAGAUGAAAGGAUCCUCUAUGUACAGAAGACAAUAAUAUGUUGGAAUAUGAUUUUUAGUUACACAUAAUGCAUUCCCACCAUAUAAACCAUUGCAAGGAUUUACACAUCGAUUGUUGGAGCAUACAUUGUUUCUAAUAUAAUGCUCAUUGACUAAAAAUUAAAUUAAAUGCUUAUAAUUAAAUAUUUAUAAAAUAUUUUUGAAAUAUUAAAAUAUUAAAAUAUAUAAAUUUAAAAUA